GGCGCUUGUGCGUGGCCCCAACCCUUCCGAUUGCAUUUCUGUAAACGCCGCACUAGGGGCUCCGUCACGGGGCUGCCGCGGCCUUUCUAUGGCGUUUGCCCCAGAAAUGUUCGGCAGAUUUGUGCCGAGGCGAGUCCCCUCCCUGUCCUUUCCCUUGUCAUUUUUGAAGGGAAGGACUCACUCACGAAUCCUUUAUGGAGCAAGGAAAGUACCCAAGGUCUGGAACAAAAGAUGUGAACGAGGAUCCUCUCCCAGUCCUCAAACUCUGCCCCGGGGCCAAAUGUACUCUUGGGCAGGGAGAACUUAAGGCUCUUAACGGGGAAUAAGCGGCCGUUCUUAUAAAUUAUGGUCAGCAAUAGAGUGUUUGCCAUCUUGCGACUGACUGAAAGUUGUGAAAAUAAAAGAUUUCUUGUCGAUUUUAAAGCAUUCCACUGAAAAAAAUCCCCACCCUUACACCUGCUCCUUAAUUAGGCGCGUCCCAUGGGAAUACCAAGGGAUCAUGGGAAGGAUCAAAUGACGCGAUCCGGUGCCUUCCAGAACAGCCAGUGAGGCAAAACGUGGGCAGGUGUGAAUCCCAAGACGCUGCCGUCUCCCGGAAGAGGUUUCUAACUAUCCAGAGGCGCUUGGCCUGUUCGCUCACCGGGGAAAUCAAAUGAAGGCUGGCCACGUUCAGAUUUCAGCCUGCAUCUGAACCGGUAACUGCACUCGGCCAACAAUAUCUAUUUCUGAGGUAGACAAUACACCCACCGAAAGCUGGAUCCGGAUUUGAAGAGGAGAAAUUGUUUUGGGGAGACCGCUCUUUUAUCAGCCUCGUUACCGUGACAGCAGAGGACCAAUCUUUCCGACACUGACCAGAGCUUCGUGUGACAGCGUUGCCUCUGAAGACCUAAAGGUCGUCUUCUCAGGGAGACCAGGAGGGCGUGUGACAGGUGUGAUCAGGCUGUGGCAUCUAAGCAAAAGAGCCCAACCAGCUCUAAAGGACGUCAUUGGAGAAUUGUGUGACAGAGAUGGCAGAUGGGAGGCUUUCCACAUGCUGGCUGGACCUCUUGUGAGCCAAAGGCGACUUUCUGCAUUAUUGAAGAGAAUGCCCAAUCAAUGGACAUUUGGGCACCCCCAGCACGAACUUAACUUUUGCCCUAAAGCCUCAUAAGAGUCUCCUCGGAGGGAGGGUAAAAAUUAUGACUGUUAAGCUCUUCUAUUGUCAGCGAGCCCUAGAUUUGCUCUUCUGGGGUCCAGGAAGGUAGAUUCAGAGUCCUGUGGCCAAAGAUCUCACUUCCUCUCAGAACCUUCUGGGACUGCCCUUUGCACCAGCAAUAAAGUCUGCUAUCACAUUGUAUUGAAUCAGUGCAUUGUUUCAAGUAUCAGUGAAGUCUGAUACUUCCCAGCCCAGCAGAACUGGCCAGUGGAUACAAUGCUAAGAUCAGCUUCACGAAGCCUGCCCUCAGUUCAGGGAGG
rnacentral:lncRNA from 1 species